UAACCGGCGAGUGAAGCGGCAAGAGCUCAGAUUUGAAAUCUGGCUUUGCGGCACACUUGUAGAAAUUGCAGGUUGGAGCUCUGUGUGGAAGGCGGUGUCCAAGAUCCCUUGGAAACAGGGCGCCCAGGAGGGUGAGAGCCCCGUGGGAUGCCGGCGGAAGCAGUGAGGCCCUUCUGACGAGUCGAGUUGUUUGGGAAUGCAGCUCCCAGCGGGUGGUAAAUUCCAUCUAAGGCUAAAUACUGGCGAGAGACCGAUAGCGAACAAGUACUGUGAAGGAAAGAUGAAAAGCACUUUGAAAAGAGAGUGAAACAGCACGUGAAAUUGUUGAAAGGGAAGGGUAUUGCGCCCGACAUGGGGAUUGCGCACCGCUGCCUCUCGUGGGCGGCGCUCUGGGCUUUCCCUGGGCCAGCAUCGGUUCUUGCUGCAGGAGAAGGGGUUCUGGAACGUGGCUCUUCGGAGUGUUAUAGCCAGGGCCAGAUGCUGCGUGCGGGGACCGAGGACUGCGGCCGUGUAGGAACCUCACGGAUGCUGGCAGAACGGCGCAACACCGCCCGUCUUGAAUUCC
rnacentral:rRNA from 1 species